rnacentral:misc_RNA from 1 species
UUUUCAUGUAUUCCAUGCUAUUAAUACAAUGCAGAUUUGUUGCUACAGUUUGGUCAUAGAGAUGGCUAUAUCUAGAUUUUUCCUUUUUUUUUUCACCCUUUGAGACAAGCAACUUAUGUACAUCAAAUUGAUAGCAAAUAAGGUACCAGCUACUACAAAGUGCUGGCCCAUGAACUAUAUCCAUAUAAGCAAAAAGAAGGGGAAAAAAAAAGGUGAAAAUCUAGAUAUAGCCAUCUCUAUGACCAAACUGUAGCAACAAAUCUGC